rnacentral:rRNA from 1 species
CCUACGGGUGGCAGCAGUGGGGAAUAUUGCGCAAUGGGGGAAACCCUGACGCAGCGACGCCGCGUGAGCGAAGAAGGCCUUAGGGUUGUAAAGCUCUGUUGUAAGGGAAGAAAGGCAACCGGAGUAAUAUGCUGGUUGUAUGACGGUACCUUACGAGGAAGCCCCGGCUAACUACGUGCCAGCAGCCGCGGUAAGACGUAGGGGGCGAGCGUUGUCCGGAAUUACUGGGCGUAAAGAGCACGUAGGCGGAUAUUUAAGUCAGUUGUGAAAGACCGCGGCUCAACCGCGGGGUUGCAAUUGAAACUGGGUAUCUUGAGGGCAGGAGAGGUCAGUGGAAUUCCUGGUGUAGCGGUGAAAUGCGUAGAAAUCAGGAGGAACACCAGUGGCGAAGGCGGCUGACUGGACUGGCCCUGACGCUGAGGUGCGAAAGCGUGGGUAGCAAACAGGAUUAGAUACCCUUGUAGUC